GACGAACGCUGGCGGCGUGCUUAACACAUGCAAGUCGAACGGAAAGGCCCCUUUGGGGGUACUCGAGUGGCGAACGGGUGCGUAACACGUGAGUAACCUGCCCUUGACUUCGGGAUAACUUCAGGAAACUGGGGCUAAUACCGGAUAGGAAUCCUUGCUGCAUGGUGGGGGUUGGAAAGCUUCGGCGGUUUUGGAUGGACUCGCGGCUUUUCAGCUUGUUGGUGGGGUAGUGGCUUACCAAGGCUUUGACGGGUAGCCGGCCUGAGAGGGCGACCGGCCACAGUGGGACUGAGAUACGGCCCAGACUCCUACGGGAGGCAGCAGUGGGGAAUAUUGCACAAUGGGCGGAAGCCUGAUGCAGCAACGCCGCGUGCGGGAUGACGGCCUUCGGGUUGUAAACCGCUUUCAGCAGGGGCGAAGCUUGUGGUGACGGUACCUGCAGAAGAAGCACCGGCUAACUACGUG
rnacentral:rRNA from 1 species